rnacentral:lncRNA from 1 species
GCCAAUUAUUGUUGAUCUUUUCAACAAGGCAAAUUCUUUUUAUUUUGCAUCGUAUGCUGCUUGAUGCAUUAAGACUGUUGGGGAAGUAAGAGAGCUGACUGACAACAUGUCUCUCAAUUAAUAAUACAAUUACAAACCACAAAGCAACUAGGUGAAUAUCCAAAAUAAGAAAGGUGUGAUUGAUAUUGAUACUCAUGAUGCUUUUGCUUACAGGUAAUAAAAUUCUCAGCAACCAAUUGAAAACCACAUCCAAGAAGUUAGAAGCUAAUGAAAUGGCGCAACUCUUAUCGAAUGGUCUGAUGUAUGGUGGUAUCCACAAACAAGCUCUUGUCACCAACGCAUGCUUACCGAUUAUUUCCGUGUUAUUAGAAAAACAUGUGAAAAUACAUGCGACCACAUGUUAACCAACAAAGCAACAAGCUUUUGGCAGAAGUAGUAGAAAGGAACAUAUGAAGUAAUCAAUGCAGGGAAUUCAGAGUCGAGGCUAGUGGAUGAUCCUCAUGAAGAAGAUUAGAUUGAAGACGAUGAAUGAAAAUUGGUGUAAACUGGGUAUCUCAACACGGAGACUAAUUCAUCGGGUAUUGUGGGAUUUAAAUGGGCGGCAGACUCUCCCUAAAAAUUUUAACACAUUUCUGCAUGUCAAGGCUGGAUUCGAACCCCAUUAAUUUUUUUAUUUGCUUUCAAGUCAAUUUUUAAUUUCAACCAAGAUCUCAC